rnacentral:lncRNA from 1 species
CCAGAGGUGGAGGGAUUUGGAUGUUGCAAAGUUUACCAGUAUUACUAUUUAAAUAUCAUGAACCUUAUUGUGCAUAAAAAAUGACAGAAAAUAGGACUACUUCAGAGUACACAUUUUAAAUUUACCUGUAUUAUCAUGUAAAUAUUUAUUUUAUUAAGAGUUUGAAUUUUUAGGAGAACACCUCAUGUUCAACCACUUUCAUUUCCCUUCAUUCUUAGUUUCUUACUAAUGGUCGCUCGAUGGUGCUAAUUGGCUUAUGUGGUUAUAGAUGGUGAGUAUUACUGUAUUAGGAAGGCUCGCAUCACCAUUAUUUUUAAGGAAGUUUAAUCCAUGUAUGUUUUGUCCAUGUAAUUUUAAAUUCUUAGCUGCAUGGAAGUGGUACCUUUUAGUUCUUUGUGCCGGUUACAAAAAUAAUCAUCAUUGGGCUGUAAAUUUGACUGGCACAACUUAAGCUGAUUUUUGGUAUUUUUCUUCUUGGUAAGCUUUCAGUUAUAUUGGCAAAAAAAUUGCUUGAAGGUUUCAAAUAUACUACACCGGAACUAUUCCAACAUUGCUAUUGAAAUUUUUCUUGUGGAAGUACUUGGAAGGAAGAUUCUUGCCCAGUUCAACUUCUUUAAUAUUCUUGAAGGACACAUCAAAGAUUUCUAGAUGCAACAAGUUUAUAUGAAUUACACAUGGUAGACAAGGUUAAUGUCACUGUGUAGUCUUUGCCCCUUCUCUAGAAGGGGUAUAUGCUCGAAAAUCGUAUUAUCUUUUGUCCAGACUCAAAUUUUAUAUGGCUGUUUGAUCUGUGGUUAGAAUUUAUUCCCGGUGUCCGUGUCUCACUAAGUUACCUCUGUUGAAACUGAAAAAUGUAUGAAUGCAAAAAUGGUUUAUCAAAUCCAUGCUGAUUGCAAGACAUGCUUGUAUUGAAAAAGCAAUCAUCUUUUCACAUAUACAAAACUUUGUAAGGUUUGAGGUGCUGGUUUUGGAACCGCUUCUGUUUUUGUUUUACUGUACUCCUCUCAAUAGAGAUGCUCCUUUGAACUCUCAAGUUUCUAUUUUUGUUGCAUAGUUCACCGUUUGCAGACCAGUUGUUUGGUUGUCCUUUUAAUCAAAACUUCUGUUGUUAUGUUUGGAGGCAAGUCUGCAUUGGUCUCAUCCUGAUGGAAUUCAUUACAUGGUGGGAAUGUUAAGAGCGGGGACCUUAUAUUUAGAAACAACAAGGUGAUCCAUUUGUUGGUUUGUGCACACCUUCCUGUUAGGUUGUUUUCAAAAAUUAUUGGCAGUGAUGAUCUGGUAAAUCCCGGAUGUUUUAAAUUGUCUGAACUCUUCAGCCUGUGUGUGCCUGCUGUCUUUGCUUAUUGUUUGCUCCUUUAGCUUGAAGAAGCGCUGCACUUAAUUGGCGAGCUUGCUGAGAAAGAAAAGUUGUCACAGCGUGAUGAAAAGAUCGAUGCAUGAAAAGAGGUAUUCAUUAUUCAUUUACCUGUCGUCUCAUCUCUUACUGAAAUCUCAUCUCUCUUACUGAAAUUGCAGAACUGUUUGUGCACAUUGUGAUGUUUCUUUUUUCCGUAAACGCAAUCUAUCAGGUCUAAGCCAUAUCUAUUCCUGGGCAAGAAGGGCAUGAAGUAACACUUUGUCCUAGGUAUAUGCAUUUACUAUUGACCCUCGUUUUCCUCAUUUUCCGAUCGAUCUGUUUCUUUUUAAGACCUUCGCCAUCUCGCGCAAGAUCCUGCCUCAUUGAUUCUUACAUUGUUUCAGGAUGGCAUCUUUUGGUGAUUUAGACGCCUUUUGGAAAAUAUAGAUAUCUGUUACAUGUGUUGGAGGUUUGCGGCUUAUACAUGCAUGUCCUGAAUCUGGUUCUUCGAGGUGAAAUGGGUUGGUCGAAAUCAUGUCUACAACUUCCUUGAAAGAGCUUCUGCACCUCGUGUUUCAGUUUUGGUCACGUUUAUAUCCCUCUGUAGAAGGUCGCAGAGCCUUGGUACCCCUUGUAUGUUCUGUUGACGGUAUCACUUAGUGUUGUUUGGACCAUGUAUUGUAUUCGUGUUCCCUUUUUAUGUUAUUGGUGCUUCAGAAUCUAUAAUCAACUUGCAUUGCUUGUGUACAUGGUUACUUUUGCACCGUUCUGUUGUGGUUCAUAUUACUUGGAUUUUAUACGAUACUAUGACCUGCCAUCCAAUCUAUCUUUAAUAGAGAAACCCCCUUUUUCUCUAUGUAUCUGGAU